AUUUGCUACACUCAUCUCCUCAGCCCCGGUUUGGACCGCAUCAUUUUUCACCUGGACUGCUGCAGCUGUUCCUAGAGGACCCGUCGUUCUGCCUCCUUUCUCGCUCUCUUCCAUCCAGCUUUCAUGUGCAACUGUGGGAAUCUUUCCCAAAAGCAAAUUUCUGAUGACUGUAUUCACCUGCUUUAAGGACUAGGCUAAAACCCACAUCUCUUCAUCCUUCUAAAAGUCAGAAAGAAGGCUAGGAUGCCCUCCAGCUGUGCCGCUGUUCCCCAGGGUCCUUGGAAGUCCUGGCCAGAGCAACAAGGGGGAGCCCUUGCUGGGAAAACAUAGUCCAGAAGGACAUGGACUUCCGGUAUCGCAAUGCGAGAUCCUUGAGCUGCGGCUCUCGGAAGCAUGAGCCACUUCAUUCUGUCUUCGUGACGUCGAUCCUCAACCAGUUUGAGAUGUCCCUCCUGCUUCCUUGGCUAUGAAGGAGGACGGCGGGGUACCACGCACCUCUCCCAGGCAGUCCAGUGCCAUGGCACCCAACAGCCCCACCACAGUCGUCUGCGCCACUCGAGGAGGGCGGGGCUGGGCCCUGGAGACGGGCUGCAUGUGGUUCUCGGCUCUUCCUUCUCUGAACUGCUCUAAAUGAGGCCAAUC
rnacentral:lncRNA from 1 species